AAAUGAAAUUAUUUAAAACUAUUUUAGUUCCCCGCCCAACUUUUCCCUCUUAAUCAAAAACCCAAAUUCCCCCUUUUUCUCAAAACCUAAACUUGCCUCCAGUUCAAAUCAACCAAACCAAUGGGCGGCACAACCAAUAUAUGAAGGGCAUAUAAUUCAGACCUCCAUCUUCACCGCCCUGCUCUCGCUCACACAAGGUCGGAGGCCUAGCUCUCAUCACCAUCACGUUCUUCACAACCAGACCGUUGGACCAAUCAUUCACACCUCAACAAAUUAGAGUUCGAUCGUACCGUUUUCCAGUGACGAAGGUGGUUCUAUACGGUCGCCCGCCGUGGAUACGGUUCUGAGAUCUUUCUCAAGAUCUAUGUUUACGAUGAGAAUGAAAUAAGAUGGCGUUAAAGAGCCAUUUUACGGAUGUGACUUAAGGAUAACGCCCAAAUCGUAUCUCAGACACGUUAAAGAUUCUUGCCAUGUAUAGAAGGCCAAUUCCUCAAGUUGCUGCAACAAGAGGGGCCUGGCGUAACAUAUUUUGACUACUAAUUGACUUGAAUAGUUCUAUCAUUAUGCACCAACUGCAUACUUCUACUGUGUUUAUACACGGUAUAGGGAGGGGAAUUGGAGUAAAUCUUCUGGACUUGCAGCCAUCCUCAUCAUGGAACAUAUACUUCUUCUCAUCAAAUUUGGCAUCCCAAGGAUUGUACUUGAGCAAAUCUUGUAGAUGAAGGUGGAGGUUUAUAGAUGAUGCGUCUACAUCUGGUGCUGGGGAUCUUGCAAAAGAUGAAGAGAUGCUACUUCAGAAUUCACUUACUAUGUCUGUGGUGGCUCACUUCUUUUUUAACACCUCCAACCUAAUCAUAUAUUCAGCCAACACUAGAAGGAAAGAUUGAUCCUGCAAAUUUAGCUUUUUUACCGCCCUCUAUGCAACUUGAUCUUCUAGUGCAAAUGAGAGAACGGUUGGUGGCAGUGAACCGGAAAAAGUAUUAAAAAGUUAAGGCAUUUGUUUUCCAACUUGGUGACUAAAUGUUUUAAUGGCCCUUUAAGAUCUUUUGACCUACAUUUUUUGUGUAUGUAGGUUCCUUCAAGAUUUUCUGAAUUUAAAAUGGAGUCUUAUUUUUAGAUGUCUUCAGCAUGGAGAUUAACGAAGUGCAGAAAGUAGCUGGUGGAAGGGGAGUUAGUGGUGUUCAGAUUUCAUUCACGGAUAGCAUCUGAAGCAAACAAAGUAUUUAUUGUCACUCAGUAACUAACUAACUGAUUAAGGUUUGCUUUAGGUGAUUAUGCAUUAGCUCCUACAACAGGCACCAUUAUGUAAGCAAUUGGAGGAGAUGGGUUUGUUGCUGUUGCAAGUGCUGCUAGUAGUGAUGUAGGUUUUGUUGCACUAUCAUUUGGAGAUAUCUUUUGAUUAGAAGCUUAUGUAUUUGGUUUUAAAUUUUAAACUUAUGUAUGGAUUUUGGUUUAUUAUUGUUAAUAUUAUUUGGUUUUUAAGUUUU